GAACUCUUCAGCUUCAACUUCUUCAGCUGAAAAAUGGAGACAGUAGUAGUUACCAUGGCUACCUCAUAGGAAUGGAUGUGAAAAUGCUUUGUAAACCAUAUAGCACUUUACUAAUAACAGAGACUGUGAAUACACCUUGAAGGCAGCUGGGGAGUGUAACAGAAGUCUCCUUCCUUUUCACUAAAGGCAGAAUCCUAUGUCGCGUGCAUCAGAGCCUCAGAGGAAGACGCCUGGGAAGAGGACAGCCAUAGCCUUCAGCCAUGUCCAACUCACCACUUAAAAAGGCCCCUCAAAUGGUUUUAAGUGGGUUUUCAAGCUUGAGGAUGGCGAGCAAUCCUAGGAUAAGGAAGAUCCAUCCAGAAGCACUGGGGAAAACAAACGGCACCGACAAUGAAAACCAGGAAAAAAGAACACACACACGCCCUUCAUAAUGGAUGAUCCCAGCACUUCUUGGGGACCACAGUCCUGGAAGCACAGCAGCAGGCUCAUGGGCUGCAUUCCCUCGGGUCGCGCUGGGUUUAAUGCUCUCCUGUCAUGAUUUUGGAAUUUUUAGUAACUUAAGAUCAAGGAAUCUGAUAUUUUACUUUUGCAUUGGGCCCCUCAAAUCUUGUGGCCGGUCCUGCCU
ensembl:lncRNA